GCUGGGCAUGGUGAUGUACACCUGUAAUCCCAGCGUCUCAGGAGGCUGAGGCAGGAGGAUUGUGAGUUCAAAGCCAGCCUCAGCAAAAGUGAGGUGCUAAGCAACUCAGUGAGACCCUGUCUCUA
rnacentral:sRNA from 1 species